rnacentral:rRNA from 1 species
CCCUUAGAUGUCCUGGGCCGCACGCGCGUUACACUGAUGCAUUCAACGAGCUUAUAACCUUGGCCGAGAGGCCUGGGCAAUCUUGUUAACGUGCAUCGUGAUAGGGAUAGAUUAUUGAAAUUAUUAAUCUUGAACGAGGAAUUCCUAGUAAACGCAGAUCAUCAAUCUGCAUUGAUUACGUCCCUGCCCUUUGUACACACCGCCCGUCGCACCUACCGAUUGAAUGGUCCGGUGAAAUCUCGGGACGGCGGCUUGGUCGCUUGCGUCCGACUGCUGAAACUUGAUUAAACCAUAUCAUUUAGAGGAAGGUGAAGUCGUANCA